ACGUAUUUUAUAUAUUUUUAGGUGGAACCACUAAUGCUACAACUACAAAAGGAUCAGGUGCAGCUGCAAGCUUUGAAAAUCCAAAAUAUGUGCAAAUUCCAUUGACAAGUCUUCUGGCUUUGUUGACCUCGGCGAUUUUGGUUUAUAAUUGAAAGACACUUACAGAAUAAGAACAUUAAGGAUGCUUUUGUUUAAAUUUUAUCUUUAAUUUCCAAUCAGUUAUGAUUUUCAAAAAAUGAUAUAUGCUACUUCUAAUAUUGAUUUUAUUUGGCUAGACAUGAAUUGAAUUUUUAUUGCAAGUGACGAGGGAGUCAUUAAAAGUAACUCCAGUGUAUUACUGGUAGUUUUUUAAAAAACUCACUGAAGGAUUAAUGAAACUUAUUACAGCAGAGUUUUGAGCUAAAAGAAAUGAGUCACCGAACUAUAUAGAAUAAGACAUCCAGUUCGGUGCUUAUUGCGACCUACUCUCAAACAUGUUCCUUUUAUUACAAAUUUUUGAGUCAACUGCGAAAGGGGAACUCUAUGUAGUCACUUGAUUUGCUGGAAAUAACGACCAAGUUAUUUUCAUGUUCCACUGUCUUACAAAACCCAUUAUAUGAUGUGGUCCUAAAUACCCACCUAUACUAGAUAGUCUAGGCUGGGACGUCUUUCACCAUGUCUGCUCAGUGAUUUCUAAACUGGAGUGAAACAAGCUAAUAUUGAUCACCAAAUUUACAAACACAAGAGUACAUUUUUCUAUCUACUAAAUCAAUUUCUAAUUUAGGCGCAAGGCCAACAUUUUCGAGAGAUGUAGGUUAGUCGAUUACGUCAGUACUUGACAUAUUCUUUAUUUUAUCGACUUUAGAGGAAUAAAAGAAUAAUUUACCUUCGUUACAGACAUAAAAAUUCGGAACAAAUUCUACAAAGGAUUUGUUCGAUGCAUUGACGAUUCUGUCAAUCCACUGCCCUUCUUUUUUUACUAAUAAUGGAUAAGUAUUGAUCUCACACAUACACACACAUACAGACGCGCACGCGUCAAGUUUAACAAUUAUCCGUCCACAUUUAAUACAUAUUAAUAAUCUGAACAGUAUUAUGAAAAAUUAGAUGGAUCAACUCUACUCUUUCCCUCUCAAUUUGUAACCUUGUAGUAAAUCGUAAAUAGGUUUUGACUCAUCGGAACUGGUUGAAUCUAUUUUAUUUUCCUCACACUAGUAAUAUUUCUGGGAUAAGCCGCAAGUUAUACCUACUUUACAUUUCCUCAUAAUAUGCAUAGAUCAUCGUAAAAACACAAUUAACUAGUGGUUGUUUUUGUUUUUGCUGUCGUCGUUGUCUAGCCUCUGAUCGAGAAGACAUAUGGUCAAAUAUGUUCCAAAGAUGACCACCUAACUUUUUGAAUACCGGUGAAUCAUGAUAGCGGUUCUUUGGCAUGUCCUUGGUAUUGCUGACAAAAGCAAGCAAAGGAACUAAAUGUUGUUGAAUGUAGCCUUCCUUUUUCUAAAGACAUUACAAACUGGUCUGUGUUUGAUUUGGUCUCCUAUUUCUAUCAGUCCCUCAUUUAUUUAAUUACUUCACAGUAAAAACUAAAUGCGUUGCUGUGGUUUAGUUUCAAUCAUCUGCUGUGGUUAUUUCAUUUUCUUCGAGUCACUAUCCUUUGAAUGAAUGUCACGGCUUCCCACUACGCUUCUUCAAAUGAAGCUAUUAAUAAAAAGACAAUACCUACGAAUUAUUAAAGAUAUUCAAUAAUUAUGAUUUUGCUAUAGUUUUCUUCAACGAUCGGAAAAUUCUAUUCGACUAAAUCAUAAAAUGUCAAAUAAUUCUAAAUUUCUAAAUGAACUAAAAAUUAAUGAUUGUUGUAAUGAUUUUUAAAAUAAACAUUUUAUUUCAUUU